UAGCAGUAACGAGCCUUAACCCGU
rnacentral:siRNA from 1 species